CCUACGGGUGGCAGCAGUGGGGAAUAUUGGACAAUGGGCGAAAGCCUGAUCCAGCCAUGCCGCGUGUGUGAAGAAGGCCUUCAGGUUGUAAAGCACUUUCAGUGGGGAAGAAAGCCUUGGGGCUAAUACCCUCGAGGAAGGACAUCACCCACAGAAGAAGCACCGGCUAACUCCGUGCCAGCAGCCGCGGUAAUACGGAGGGUGCGAGCGUUAAUCGGAAUUACUGGGCGUAAAGCGCGCGUAGGCGGUCUGAUAAGCCGGUUGUGAAAGCCCCGGGCUCAACCUGGGAACGGCAUCCGGAACUGUCAGGCUAGAGUGCAGGAGAGGAAGGUAGAAUUCCCGGUGUAGCGGUGAAAUGCGUAGAGAUCGGGAGGAAUACCAGUGGCGAAGGCGGCCUUCUGGACUGACACUGACGCUGAGGUGCGAAAGCGUGGGUAGCAAACAGGAUUAGAUACCCGAGUAGUC
rnacentral:rRNA from 1 species